GAAGUAACUUUGUAGAACCAUCAAAUUAGAGGUCAAUUAGAAGUGGAAGAUGCACCAUAUAGUAGUAACAUGAUCCUUAUACAACCUCUAAGAUAUUUGAUGGAGUAUAUGUUUUUUGUGGUGAUUGUUAUUUAAAUCUGAAAAACACUUUUCUCACCGACUUAUGGAAUAUAGUACCAAUGGGUACAGUUGUGGUGGACCACCUUUUUAUC
rnacentral:lncRNA from 1 species